UUUUUCUUUUUCUUUUCUUUUUUGUUUUUUUAGGGCCACACCCACAGCCUAUGGAAGUUCCCAGACAAGGGGUCCAAUCCGAGCUGCAUCUGCUGGCCUAUACCACAGCUACAGCAACGCCAGAUCCAAGCCGCAUCUAUGAACUGCACCAUAGCUCACCUCAAGGCAAGAUCCUUGACCCACUGAGCAAGGCCAAGGAUCAAACCCACAUCCUCAUGGAUACUAGUUGGGUUCAUUAACCAUUGAGCCACGAUGGGAACUCCCAGCAUUGCCUUUUUCAAUAAAUGUUUGCCUAUAACCUGAUUCUUCAUAGAUGUAUAAUAUUCCAUUCUACCAGCUUACUCUGACACUUGCAUCUAACCCUCUACUAUAGGACAGGGUUUCCAGGCAUGGUUGUACAGGUUGUUCACUGCCCAACUGCACCCAGCAGAAAGGCACUUGAGAGACGAAUCCAGCUCCCCUGAACCUACCAGGCCAUGCAUCCUGGCUGGGGCUGUGUCUUCUUGGACAAAGGGUGCUUGCCAGGCCAUGAGCUGAAGGCUAACCACUCAGAGGGCCCAUUUUUCCCUUUCCUUCCAAGACACCGCACAGUCCAGAGGAGGGCCUGGUUGGACACCUAUGUUGUUCCCAGUUUAGGGCUUAUAAAAACAGGGAGGCUGUGAACUAUUUUGCUUACCGCUCCUCCUGGCUCAAGUCACUGAUGGCUAAUUACUGAUCUAUUCCGAGAAGUGGGGUAACAAGGUUAAAAAAACAAACAAACAAACAAAAACUGCUAUUAGUUUAGAAGAGACUAUUUCAGGAGAUAGGCUGACUCUGAUGGAUGCAGGCUAAUUCUAAUUUCUAAGUUCUAAUUUUAGGAAAAGUUCUUACCAAGUAAAUUGCUUAGAGCCGGAUUUUGAUGGGCCGAAAAUGUUAACACAUUCGAAAGGGCAGACCUUUCUCAGUGACUCUGACCCACCAUCUAAGAAAGUACUGCUUUUAUGCAAAUAAGCUCACUGCAAAUCUUUCUCCUUUAUUCAUGGAUGCUGAGAAUCAGCCGGUCCUCUUCGCUCAGCCCUGAACGGGAAGAGGGUUUUAAAUAAGGGAAGAGAGGCUGGCAUUUGUUUAGAGCUCUUUUUAUGCCAGAAAUUCUGCCUUUACUUAGAUUUUCUUGGGGAAAUUCCCUGCACAUCAACUUUUUCUAAAAAAAAUUAGGUGAUUCAAUCUGCCGUCUUCCAGCCUUUUCUGCUUUAGAAAAAUAACACUUACCAUGGUGUUUGCUAGACUUUGGCUUCUGUUUGGGGGUAUAUUUGGUAUUGGCACUUUUGGCAGGAGAAUUUCUUUAUGAAAACUCUACAACCCAGCCUGAUCCAGACGCUGUGGCUCUCUGCCUUGAUUAAUCAUCACUGCGAGUCGUUACUGCACUGGGGCUUUAUCUGCUGAAUGCCUCUGCCCAGGCCUGUGGCCUCCGAGGCUAUUCAUCUGCCUCCCAUCUGCAGAAUGAGGCCACAGUCAUUUCAAACCCAUAAAGAGAUGGGGAAAUACUAAAAAUGCAUUCGUUAGUUUUUAAAACUAAUUUUGUCUCUAAACAGCUAAAGUGUAUUGUAAAAUCUUUUUGUUUUUCCCCAGGCCAGAGUCUUGGUUCCUGCCAGCACCUCCAGCCUGGCCUCCACCAACUGUCCACGGUCCUCCACCCUGAGCUUGUGCCAUCAAGCAAGGCCUGUCCACCACAUCGAAGGCAGAAACACACCCCCAACUGGCGGUGCAGCCACGUAGGGGUUAACACUCCUCUCCUCCCUAAAACCCACAGAAACAUCCAAAUGAAUGAAAAUCUAGGAGGAGAACUUCAUUUCCAGGGAAAAUGUUCUACAGGAUAGAACCACCAUCUAAGCAGUUAACCCUGGGGACUCAGGUUCAUGGUCAAAGGAUGGGAGCAGUAUUGCCCUUCCCAGAAGCGACUGACCACUGCCUUGUCUCCCAGGACUGGGGUUCCCUGACUCUCCAUUAAGAAGUCAAAGGAGGCUGGGGGGACAAGGGAAGAUAGGGGAUUGUUGUCUAAUGGGGGCAGUGGUUUGACAGGUUCCCCCCCACCACCAGGUGCAAGUAGGGUGGGAUACACUUAUGCUGCAGGUGGUAGGAUGGAUUUUUUUUUUUUUUAGGGCCACGCCCACUGCAUACAGAGGUUCCCAGGCUAGGGGUCAAACUGCAACUGUAGCCACCAGCCUACACCACGGCCAGAGCAUCACCACAUCCAAGCCACGUCUAUGUCCUACACCACAGCUCACGGCAACGCUGGAUCCUUUAACCCACUGAUCGAGGCCAGGGAUCGAACCUGCGCCCUCAUGGAUGCUAGUCAGAUUCAUCUCCGCUGCACUAUGAUGGGAACUACAGGAUGGAUUUGUGUUUUAAGGGGUGAGAUUCUAGAGAAGAGGGAAAUGCAGGUUCAGAGGCAGCUGCACCCAGACUGGAGGGAGGGUGAUCACCACCCCAGGGUGGGCAGCCCCUCCCUCGAGGACGGCGUGACCACCUGUGGGAUGUGAGAACAUGGGGAGUCUCUGACGCUGAGACACUGCGGAGAAGGGCACACAGGAGGGCCUCUCUCUAGGGCUUCUGCAGCCAUCACACAGCUAAGCACCAGCCUCCUGAAGAUGCCGUGGCAUCCUGGAACAGGGGCUCAGGAGCCAGCGCUGAGCACAGAGCCGACCCCCAGGGCUUCCUGGGCCAUAUGAGUACCCUUGAACUCCAGUUUCUACAUCCAGGCUCCUGGUAGCUCCUUGGGCUCCCAAGUGUUUCUGCCGUGACUGUCCCCUGUAUCCGCCAGCUCUCCCCACACCCAAGUCUCUCUAAGGCCAAAUAUUGAAUCUGUUGGCAUGGAAGCCAAUCUUGUCUUAUCUCUCCAGCUCUCAUGCCUCAAAAUUCAUAUUUUUCAUUCUCUGCUUCUUCCCUUCCAGUCUGAAGAUUCUUUCUUGCUUUGGGGACAGAAAUUAGGGAUCUAGAAUUCUCGUCCAGCUUUGCUCUUUUUUAGCUGGGACUCUUGGGCAAUGCAGUCAGGGUUCCUCGGCCUCAGUCUCCCAGACACCAGUCUGUAAAUUGGUGCCCCUCAACGAAAAAGAUUUUAUGACUUCAUAGUUCAAUGAAAAUCCUAGGGACAAGGCCAUUUAUAUGUGUGUGUAAUUAUAACUGCUGGUUUGGGAUACUACUAUCUUUUAUGCCAAUAUCGUGCUUUUCUAGUGGGUUUUUAUGGGGGUGGAGUGAAAAAAAUGUUUUCAUUAAUGAAAUUAUUAUAAUAAAUUAUUACCGUUUGAUUUUUUCUUAUUACUCUCUGUAGAUGAGAAAAUUAGAAGUUGGUGGUUUUAUUUUUACCAGUACACUUUACUUAUAUUGCUUGUUAUAUUCAAGUAGUCUCUAAAAUCCCCAAGGCCAGGGCGCAAUGGACUCUCGGUAAUUGUCUUCAUGUAUCAAACUAUAGAAUUAUUUGACUGUAAUAACUACCAGGGGUCUAAUAGUCUUGUCUGAAGAUAUUUUCAGCAAUGCUUUCCCAAACCUUUCUACAAUUUCUCAUAAGUUCCUUUAAAUAUUAACCAAAUAAUUUUGUCUUUUUUGGAAGAGACAGCGAGCCCUCUCGUCCAAGGGAAAGUUUCAGAGCUUUUUCGUUUCCUCUUUGUCCUUCGGGAAGGUCAGAUCUAAAUGGAUGGGUCUGAGCUUAUGGUAACCAUGUAAUGUAUGCUGUGUGUGUGUUUUUCUUGCUUUGUACUUUGCUUUCUUUAUGUUACUUUGGUCUAUUCUUAUUUUUUCAAAUCUUUCAUAAAAAUAAGAUGUGUCAAAACCUUUUGAGGAAGGGUGAAUCGUAAAAGUUUAAAAAGAAAAGAUGAACACACUAACCGAAAUUUUUAAAAAGAGGCUUGAAUAGGAAAUUCAUAUAAAAUAAGGAUAAAUGGCAUUGGUUGUAUGAAAAAAAAAAAUCAAACCCACUGGGAAGCAAGAAACCUCAAAUUUNGAAAUUCACCCCAUCACUGUUAACAAAACUAUAAAUUGGUGCAACUUUUCUAGCAGACAAUUUAGCAGUUAAAAUCAAGGUUUAAAAUACACAUGUCCAAAAAAAAAAAAAAAAUGGAGUUCCCGUUGUGGCUCAGCAAGUUAUGAACCAAACUAGUUACCAUGAGGAUGUGGGUUCGGUCCCUGGCCUUGCUCGGUGGGUUAAGGAUCCAGCAUUGCCGUGAGCUGUGGUGUAGGCCAGCAGCUGCAGCUCCGAUUCGACUCCUAGCCCAGGAGGUUCCAUAUGUCGUGAGUGUAGCCACCCUAAAAAGCAAAAAUGAAUAAAUAAAUAAGUAAAAAUAAAAUGUGCAUGUCUUUUGACCCUAGACUUUUUGCUCCUUGGCCUUCUUUCUAAAGAACAUGAUUAAGGACUUCCUAGGCUCAGUUUAUUAGUUAUCAAGACCAUUGUAACCAAGCCUGUGCAACCAUCAGCACAGUGCAGUAGAAAAACUGUAACCACGAUGCUUGUGCAACAACAGCUUCGCAUGUGCUGGGAGGUUGUGGUCCGUCCUCACCAUGGGAUAAUCUCUGCAACCACGACUGGCGACUUUCCCCCAGCCCUUAGCGUCCAGCGAAUAAACAGCGUGUCCACUGAAAUCUAAGGAUAAGGAAAUACACGCACACCUAGAGAAUAAUCUGGAAGCUUGGUCACAGACAUGAUAGCAAUAGAUACCGCAAGGGAUAGGAUUUUAAGAAGAUGUUUUACUCUCUUAGUCUCUGCUCGCUUUUAUUUUCCGAUGUUUCUCCUUGCAAUGAACCUAUAUGAUUUGUAUCAUAAGUGAGAAUUGUUGUUUUCAAAAGUUUAAUAAGUUUUAAUUAUCUUUAAAAACAGUAACAAAAAAACAUAUGGAGCCUGCUUCUAAGUAUAUUCGUUGAUCAUAAGGAAACUGCUUUUCAGUGGAGUUCCCAUUGUGGCUCAGCAGUAACGAACCACACUAGUAUCCACGAGGAUGCAGGUUUGAUCCCUGGCCCCUCACGCAUUGGGUUAAGGAUCUGGUGUUGCCAUGAGCUUCAAUGUAGGCCACAGACGAGGCUCAGAUCUGGUAUUGCUGAUGCUGUGGUGUAGGCCAGCGGCUGCAGCUCCAAUUCGACCUCUAGCCCGGGAACUUCCAUAGGCUGCACUUUGGGCCAGAAAGAAAGAAAGAAAGAAAGAAAGAAAGAAAGAAAGAAAGAAAGAAAGAAAGAAAGAAAGAAAGGAAAAGGAAAUUAAAGGAAAGGAAAGGAAACUAUUUUUCCCAUUUGCUCUUUGCCACAGUAUUUAAAUGAUAACAAAUACAUUGUAUACUCUUGAUAACAAUUUUUUUUAUGGCCACACCCACAGCAUAUGGAGUUCUAGGGCCAGAGAUGGAAUCUGAGCCUCAGCUGUGACCUACAUCACAUCCGUGGCAACUCUGGAUCCUUUAACCCACUGCACAGUGCAGGGGAUCAGACCCUUGCUUCUGCUCCAUCUGAGCUGCUUCAUUUGGCUUCUUAACCCACUGCCCCGCAACAGGAACUCUGAUAAUAAAUACUCCGUCUCUGAUGCGAUGGUGAAAUAGAGUGUCUCAGGUAAAUUCCCAAUUUUUUCCUGGGAUUUUUGGGGUGUUACUUUAACAUGAGGCACCAACCCUUGGUGGGGGAGGUGAGAGAUGGGAAAAGGUCAGAGCCUGGUGCAAAUCCCACCAGCUCCUUAAAAGCUUCUCCAGCCACCAAAGCAGCAGUGCAUCCAUCCUGCCUUCUCCUCCCACUCAUUCCUAAGGGCCACCCCCAAAUCCUGAUCUUUUGGACAAGAGUCACAUACCUUGUGCGUUGUCCCCAUUCUGGAGGAUGAAGGCAUCCAUGAGCCACGUACUCACAUGGAAACACCCGUGUAACCGACCACUAUCCCUGGGUCCCGCGAGAUCCUGGAAUAUUCCUGGCCAUGAUUCCUAAACCUUCCAACGCUUUGGCCUGUGUAAGUUCUAAGUUCUUCUUGGAUUUUAUUUUAUUAUUUUAUUUUUUAAUUUUUUUUUUUGUCUUUUUAGAGCCACACCUGAGGUAUAUGGGGGUUCCCGGCUAGGGGUCGAAUGGGAGCUAUGGCCGCUGGCCUACACCACAGCCACAGCAACUCGGGACCCAAGCCACAUCUUCAACCUUCACCACAGCUCACGGCAAUGCCAGAUCCUUAACCCACUAAGCGAGGCCAGGGAUUGAACCCACAUCCUCAUGGCUACUAGUCGGGUUCAUUAUUACUGAGCCAUGAAGGGAACUCCAUCUCCUUGGAUUUUACAACGAAAAUCAGCUCUUUCUUUAUAGGUACACAUACACAUAAGCAUGAACAAGACUCUACAAACAAAAAAAAAAAACAAAAAAAA
rnacentral:lncRNA from 1 species